rnacentral:rRNA from 1 species
AUAUAAUUAAGCGGAGGAAAAGAAACUAACAAGGAUUCCCCUAGUAACGGCGAGUGAAGCGGGAAAAGCUCAAGCUUGAAACCCACAUCUCUCUGGGGUGUGGGAUUGUAGCCUAAAGAGGGAGCGUCCUGGUAAGCGGUGACCUAAAUGCUUUGGAAUAAGCUGCCAAAGAGGGUGCGAGCCCCGUUCCUGGUUGCCUGCCUUUGCCUUUUGUGAUGCCCUUUCAAUGAGUAGGAUUGCUUGAGAGUGCAGUCCGAAGUGGGUGGUAUACUUCAUCUAAAGCUAAAUAUUGACACGAGACCGAUAGCGCACAAGUA